AACGAACGCUGGCGGCAGGCCUAACACAUGCAAGUCGAACGGGACAACAUCUGUAGCAAUACAGGUGUUGUUUAGUGGCGAACGGGUGCGUAACACGUGGGCAAUCUGCCGAGAAGUGGGGGAUAGCUCGCCGAAAGGCGAAUUAAUACCGCAUAUGAUCAGCUAAGACAUCUUAGCGACAUCAAAGCCGGGGCAACCUGGCGCUUCUUGAUGAGCCCGCGGCCUAUCAGCUAGUUGGUGAGGUAACGGCUCACCAAGGCGACGAUCAGUAGCUGGUCUGAGAGGAUGAUCAGCCACAUUGGGACUGAGACACGGCCCAAACUCCUACGGGAGGCAGCAGUGGGAAUAUUGGACAAUGGGCGCAAGCCUGAUCCAGCCAUGCCGCGUGAGUGAUGAAGGCCCUAGGGUUGUAAAGC
rnacentral:rRNA from 1 species